rnacentral:rRNA from 1 species
GAUGAACGCUGACAGAAUGCUUAACACAUGCAAGUCAACUUGCAUUUGGGUUUUUAACUUAGGUUUGGGUGGCGGACGGGUGAGUAACGCGUAAAGACCUUGCCUCACAGCUAUGGACAACAUUUGGAAACGAAUGCUAAUACCUAAUAUUAUGAUAAUACGACAUCCUAUAAUUAUGAAAGCUAUAAGCGCUGUGAGAGAGCUUUGCGUCCCAUUAGCUAGUUGGAGAGGUAACGGCUCACCAAGGCGAUGAUGGGUAGCCGGCCUGAGAGGGUGAUCGGCCACAAGGGGACUGAGACACGGCCCUUACUCCUACGGGAGGCAGCAGUGGGGAAUAUUGGACAAUGGACCGAGAGUCUGAUCCAGCAAUUCUGUGUGCACGAUGAAGUUUUUCGGAAUGUAAAGUGCUUUCAGUUGGGAAGAAACAAAUGACGGUACCAACAGAAGAAGUGACGGCUAAAUACGUG